UGGUCAGAUUUGAACUCUUCAA
rnacentral:miRNA from 1 species